rnacentral:rRNA from 1 species
UACAGAGGUCUCGAGCGUUAAUCGGAUUCAUUGGGCUUAAAGCGUACGUAGGCGGAUGUGCAGGCAUCGUGUGAAAUCCCCUGGCUCAACCAGGGAACUGCUCGGUGAACCGCAUGUCUUGAGGCAAGUAGAGGCUGUCGGAACGAUAGGUGGAGCGGUGAAAUGCGUAGAUAUCUAUCGGAACGCCGAAGGUGAAAACAGGCAGCUGGGCUUGAUCUGACGCUGAGGUACGAAAGCGUGGGGAGCGAACGGG